AGGGGUUACACUGGUAGUAGGAGUCGAGGUGGUGCUGCUUGUCUGCACAGAGGUUGAGCUCGUUGUAGGAGCUGAGGUGGUGCUGCUUGUCUGCACAGAGGUUGGACUGGUUGUCGGAGCUGAGGUGGUGCUGCUUGUCUGCACAGAGAUUGUACUGGUUGUAGGAGCUGAGGUUGCACUGCUUGUGUGCACAGGGGUUGCACUGGUUGUAGGAGUCGAGGUGGUGCUGCUUGUCUGCACAGAGGUUGGACUGGUUGUCGGAGCUGAGGUUGCACUGCUUGUGUGCACAGAGGUUGGACGGGUUGUCGGAGCUGAGGUUGUGCUGCUUGUCUGCACAGAGGUUGAGCUCGUUGUAGGAACUGAGGUUGUGCUGCUUCUCUGCACAGGGGUUGUACUGGUUGUAGGAGCCGAGGUGGUGCUGCUUGUGUGCACAGAGGUUGCACUGGAUGUGGCCUCAUGGAAGGUGGUCCCUGUGUGCACAGUGACACUCACACUGGAGGUGCUGGUUACUGUGACAGUCGGGGGAGGGCAGUGUUCUUGGGGCUCGCAGCACAGCACUCUGAUCUGGUAGUUGAGGCACAGCCUGGUCUUGCCCUUCUGGUCCUGGUUCCGACACAGCAGGCCCACGUCCUGGUGGCACUGUACCAGCUGGCCCAGCUCGUGGAUGCUGACCCCGGGGUGGUUCUCGGCUCGGCACUCCACUUUGCUGAUGGAUUCAGGUCGGUGGCAGAUGCUGUCUCCAUUCCUCAUGAUGUUGCCGAAGGUUUCAUUGUCUCCCCCGUGGGGCCCGGGCACUGGGAAGUCCACGUCGAGCCAUUUGGUCCACCUGCACUUUGGCUUGCAGGGGGUGGUCCCUGGAGAGGACUGCUCGUGCGUGCUGGGCGUGCCCCAUCUUGAUGGGGUCACGUGAGGUGAGCUAGCAGUGCU
ensembl:lncRNA